rnacentral:rRNA from 1 species
GACGUAGGGGCGAGCGUUGUCCGGAAUUACUGGGCGUAAAGAGCACGUAGGCGGGAACUUAAGUCAGGUGUGAAAGACCGAGGCUCAACCUCGGGUAUGCACUUGAAACUGGGGUUUCUUGAGGGCAGGAGAGGAAAGCAGAAUUCCUGGUGUAGCGGUGAAAUGCGUAGAAAUCAGGAGGAAUACCAGUGGCGAAGGCGGCUUUCUGGACUGACCCUGACGCUGAGGUGCGAAAGCGUGGGUAGCAAACAGGAUUAGAUACCCUGGUAGUCCCUGA